UACGUGGGGCGCAGGCGUUAUCCGGAAUUAUUGGGCGUAAAGAGCUCGUAGGCGGUUUGUCGCGUCUGCCGUGAAAGUCCGGGGCUCAACUCCGGAUCUGCGGUGGGUACGGGCAGACUAGAGUGAUGUAGGGGAGACUGGAAUUCCUGGUGUAGCGGUGAAAUGCGCAGAUAUCAGGAGGAACACCGAUGGCGAAGGCAGGUCUCUGGGCAUUAACUGACGCUGAGGAGCGAAAGCAUGGGGAGCGAACAGG
rnacentral:rRNA from 1 species